rnacentral:rRNA from 1 species
UGGGGAAUAUUGGACAAUGGACUACAAGUCUGAUCCAGCAAUUCUGUGUGCACGAUGACGUUUUUCGGAAUGUAAAGUGCUUUCAGUCGGGAAGAAGUCAGUGACGGUACCGACAGAAGAAGCGACGGCUAAAUACGUGCCAGCAGCCGCGGUAAUACGUAUGUCGCAAGCGUUAUCCGGAUUUAUUGGGCGUAAAGCGCGUCUAGGCGGCAAGGAAAGUCUGAUGUGAAAAUGCGGAGCUCAACUCCGUAUGGCGUUGGAAACUGCCUUACUAGAGUACUGGAGAGGUAGGCGGAACUACAAGUGUAGAGGUGAAAUUCGUAGAUAUUUGUAGGAAUGCCGAUGGGGAAGCCAGCCUACUGGACAGAUACUGACGCUAAAGCGCGAAAGCGUGGGUAGCAAACAGGAUUAGAUACCCUGGUAGU